rnacentral:lncRNA from 1 species
AACUGGGCUUCAAGUUAAUGGACACUUACCUGGUGAACAUUGUGGUGCUUGAAAACCACGCCUUCUGAUGGAUUUACGACAGAACCUGUCUUCCUCUUCUGCCCAUUCCCAGAGUUCCCAGUUAUGGCAGCAAUCUGCUUAUGUCCCUUUGAAGAAAGAACAACGGAAAGCAGGUGACCCCCAAGCAAUGGCGAUUUUGGUCAACGUACUCAAGCCCAGCAAUGACGUGAUAUGAGGAGAGCCAAUAAAGGAAGAAAUAUUUUAACA